GUGGCUUGUGUUCUGGGGAGAGAGGAAGCAGCCGGCACUCGCCAGCCUGGCAGGUGGUGGCCCCUUGUGCCGUGGGAGGGAAGCCUGGACGAGGGUAGGAGUCGGGGCUGGAAGGCCCCUGUCCCAAACGGCCUGCAUUCCUAAUGUGAAGGCUUAGAGCAAAGGGGUUUGACUGCUCCAGGGUGAGGAGAGAAAAGGUUGUGCAGUCCUAGACAAUGGUGAGCAGGGCAGGCCCGAACAGGACACUGAAGUGCAUGGUGUGAACAUGACAGGUGUUCAACGAGAGAGAGAGACAGAGACAGAGACAGAGAGAACACCAUCCUGGGGACUGGGAGGCAGGAAAGAGACUCCGACCGCAGACGAGCACCGCGAUGUCUGGGUAGGGGAAGCUCCGCCCUUCCGCACCCCAUUUCUUUUGCCUCUCUGUGCCUUGGGGGCCCAGAGUAGGGCUGAGGUGUGGGGAGGUGCCAACAGUCCGCAAGUCACGAGGUAAACCCCAGCUUGGCCACUUGCCUGGCAGGGGCCCCACAGAAGUCCCUGCAUAUGUAAAUAGGUGCUUGUCCAAAUUCAUUCCAGCGGAAGCGCUUAUGGACGGGGAAGACAGGAGGAGCAGCCAUGGGGUGUGUGAGGAAGACAGAGGCCCGUCUCCAGAGAGCUGGAAACUUCCCACAGGACCACCAUGUGGGACCAGUUCACUGCUGGGAUCAGCAGACCCCUACGUUCCUGCUCUGCUGGAAGGAGGGCGCUCUGCCCGGUUUCCUCCCUGUGAGAAUGGAAGCCGUGUCAAUAACAGGCAGAAAGCACACCGCCCCUAAAUUCAACUGCCCUGAACUGGCUGCCUGUCCCUAGCAGAGAUUUCAGAAUGGUCUUCUCAGAAUAAUAUUUCAAUUUCACUCAACCCUAUGACAUUUGAUGACAACAUUAACAGAAAAUUAAUGAUGAAUUCACGUCUGCAUUCCAAAGUACCUGGCUGAAUUUGCUGUGUAAAAAAGAAAGAAGAGAAAAGAAAAGAAAAGAAAAGAAAAGAAAAGAAAAGAAAAGAAAAAGAAAAAAAAGCAGCUGAACGGAUACAUCAUUGAAAACCAGCAACUGUUGAUUGACAGAAUUUUUUCCCAUUCCUUAAGGCGAUCAAGUGCAGCGCCCAGUCUAAAAAUGCCUCAGAGACGUGCCAUCCAAUGACUUGGACCUUUGAGCUCAGGGGAUUGUGAUAGAAUUAAGUCUGACUCAACAAAUGAGGUCACUGGGAAGAAGCGCUGGCGUUAAAUUUACCGUUAAUGCCAGGGUCAAUUUGCUAAACAGUCAUCUGCUUGUGGUUCCAGAAGUCCUCUGGGUAAAUUCCAGAGACUGCCAGGGCUGGAGAUAGCUUGCUCAUGAAGUCACCGAUCCUUGGUCAAUGCGACGUUUGGUGACCAUCUUUUAGUCCCCCAGAGAGUAUUUCCAGAGACAGGAUGCCAUUUUGGUAUGUAAAGCCUUUGAAAUCUGUGGAAGGCGACUGUUGACGUUAAGUCUAGAAAUGGGAUGGCAGGAGGGGAAGAAAUGGUGUCUCUGGUGCCAGGAGACUCGAAUUCUCACUCUGCCACAGGCUGAGCAAUUCAAGUCACUGGAUGGCUCUUCUUAGAGGUGUUGCUAGAUUAGAUAUUGCGCUAUAUCAAAAGUGUAGAAAAGUAAGGAAUUCUGUCAAUCACCAGUAGCCAGUCAUAAAGGAUGCCUUUUCCCUUACUCCCUGGGCCACAGCAUCCUUAUCCGUCAGGUGGAAACACUAAUUACUUACUUCCCCAGCCCACCCCCCCCAGAACAGGUGACAUGAGUCAGAUGAUAAUAUACGUAUGAAAUUGCCGUCCAGAGUUCAAAGUUCUAACAAACAGAAAGCACUAGCAGAAGUCAUUUCUAGAUUCUUUCUAAUGAAGUUUUUCAGUCAUUUCCAACUGAAGUUUUAGGAAUUCAUUAAACAUGUCCCUGCUAUGGAGCCUGGGCUGGUUCUAAGGUCGCAUCCCAGGUGGUCAGUGGUCUUUUCUCUGGCCAUACCCCUGGGGCUCAGCCCGAGCUGCGUGCUCACACUCUCUACCCGUGACACCCGGAAAGCAGGGACCACAGAAACGUCCUCUGAAACUACUCUCCUCACGGUUUCUCAGCUCUGAAUUCUAAAGUCUCCACACAGAGUUAUUGGCUGGGCAACCACCCUCCUUAACCCAAGUCAGGUCUCCUCAAUUCUUAGAAGCAGCAUAGCAUAGGGGCAGCCUGUGGGGCUCUGGGCCAGACGGAUCACUUAUUAUCUGUGGACCUUGCUGAACCCUGAUUUUCUCGUCUGCCAAUAAAUAUACUUUACUGGGUAUCUAA